GACGAACGCUGGCGGCGUGCUUAACACAUGCAAGUCGAACGAAGAGCGAUGGAAGCUUGCUUCUAUCAAUCUUAGUGGCGAACGGGUGAGUAACGCGUAAUCAACCUGCCCUUCAGAGGGGGACAACAGUUGGAAACGACUGCUAAUACCGCAUACGAUCCAAUCACGGCAUCGAGACUGGAUGAAAGGUGGCCUCUAUUUAUAAGCUAUCGCUGAAGGAGGGGAUUGCGUCUGAUUAGCUAGUUGGAGGGGUAACGGCCCACCAAGGCGAUGAUCAGUAGCCGGUCUGAGAGGAUGAACGGCCACAUUGGGACUGAGACACGGCCCAGACUCCUACGGGAGGCAGCAGUGGGGAAUCUUCCGCAAUGGACGAAAGUCUGACGGAGCAACGCCGCGUGAGUGAUGACGGCCUUCGGGUUGUAAAGCUCUGUUAAUCGGGACGAAUGGUUCUUGUGCAAAUAGUGCGAG
rnacentral:rRNA from 1 species